AUGUCCCAUGUCCCCUUGCUGAAGCGCCCACUCCUCUGUGCAAUGCUGGGCUGUGGACAGGGCUGUGGGCCGGGGUCGAGUGGUUCCUGUCUCCUGCUGGUAUUCUCAGCUUCCCUGGUCUCAGAGGGUGGUUCCUCGGUCUUCUGGAAGGUGCCGGCGUGUCCUAGGGUGAGUCCUGCCUCAUGCUCUUGCCUGGUGAGAAAGCCGCGUGUGGCCUUGCUGGCAGGGGACAUCGCUGAUGUAUUAAACUGGCCCUCCUUCCAGAACUUCCCAGGCAGCUGCGGGCCACAGGCAGAGCGUGCCUCUUGCCCGCACAGUGGCCACCAGCGCUGCCCAGUUGAAUCACGGGGCAGCACAGGCCGCGGGCCCAGCCAUCCUGAGGUCUGGAGCAGGCCUGCCUCAGGGUCCCCAUCCAUACCCAGGGGGACUGUCUUGGCUGCAUCUGGUAUUCAAGAUGAUUUUGAGCCUCAAAAACAGACCAUCAACAAGAAAAAGACCACCUAG
rnacentral:lncRNA from 12 species